GCUGGGUGUGGUGGCUCACACCUGUAAUCCCAGCACUUUGGGAGGCUGAGGUGGGAGGACUGCUUGAGCCCAGGAGUUCAAGACCAGCCUGGGUAACAUAGUAGCACCCCAUCUCUA
ensembl:misc_RNA Metazoa_SRP Metazoan signal recognition particle RNA